AGCGGCUCCGGGCGGCAGCCAUGAGGCGGGACGUGCGCAUCCUGUUACUGGGCGAGGCCCAGGUGGGGAAGACGUCGCUGAUCCUGUCCCUGGUGGGCGAGGAGUUCCCCGAGGAGGUAAAGGGCACGCCCGCCGCGGGGGUGGGAGCGGGCCCAGCCGGGGGUCCCUGGUGAGCGCGCGGGUCCCUUGCAGGUCCCUCCCCGCGCGGAGGAGAUCACGAUCCCCGCGGACGUCACCCCGGAGAAGGUGCCCACCCACAUCGUGGACUACUCAGAAGCCGAGCAGACGGACGAGGAGCUGCGCGAGGAGAUCCACAAGGUACCCGUGGUGCGCGGGACGAGGGAGGGGCUGGGCGCGGGCUCGGCCUAAUCCGCUUCGCCGGCUGGGGGAUUGGACCGAGGUGCUCAGGGUGUCCUUGGCCCUGAUAAUUGUGUGACCUCCGCACUGAGGGUUGUUGGGGCCCCCCCAGCGCACCCCGCUGGGAGCCGGCACCGCUCAGUCCAGUGGUGCUCCAGGGAUAAGAGGAUCCUUCCCCGCGGGCUGUCUCUCUCUCCUGCUGGGGUGGCAGCAGCGUUUACUCUUCCUGUGGGCUGUGUGUGCGCUACCUCCCCCUGCUGUGUGCUCCAGCCCACCGUCCCGGCCUCCGGGCACCCAGAGCUCUCAGUACCAGAGCACGUGUGCCGGGGACAUCUCCAGGCAAGGGCACAGGCCACAGCCACCCAGGGCAGCCCCUGCCGCCGGUACCCCUCACUACGGUCCUGUCACUCUGCAGCGAGGGGGGAGGCAGGGACCAAGGCGGCGGCUGUUUUGUAGGGUGUUGGGUUGCAGGUGUGGCCGUGUCUGUCUUGAGCCCUCUGCUCUAAGGAUCUUGCCGACCACAGCUAUGCUUCUGGUGUUCCUGCACUGGCAGUGGGCGAGGAAGAGGCUUCUCUGAGGGUUCAGCAGCUCCCAGGGUGACACUGGGGAGUGCCUGCUCUGCCAACACCAGGCUGGAGGCAGGUUUUAGGGAAGGCUGGGCUUUCCCGGCCUCAGAGCCGCACCCAUGCUACCUGUGAGCUUCGGGGGCCUCCUGGAGCCUCGAGAUGGCGUGGAGCGGCCAGGGUCGUCGGUGGUGAGCCAGCAGCCCCGUCACCCACACCUCGUCACUGUUCCCUCAGGCAAACGUGGUGUGUGUGGUGUAUGACGUCUCCGAGGAGGCCACCAUUGAGAAGGUGAGCCCUCAGUGCAGACCCCAACAGCAGAGACACGGCCGCUGGUGGCCCAGGUGGACCCUCACCCAACCCGUGGCCAGUGCCAUCUCUCACAGCAUUUUGGGGAGCCUGACGUGGAGUCACCUGACGUGGAGUCACCCGGCCAUCUCCUGUGAUCCCACUUCCCCUGAGAGGGUCUGGGAUGUCCCGCAGUCUGAACCAUUUAGGCCCGCAGCCCUCUUUCUUCCCCAGUUUCCAAACCCCCGGGGGGAACCGCAGAGGGCCUGUGUUGGGGGCGGCCCUAGGCUUGGGCCCCAGUGACUUGGGGGUGUUUGGGAGCCACUGGGGUCAGACAGAUGAGGCUGCACCUGCUGCCUGCCUUCUCCCACCAGCUUUGUUCCUGUGGCUGGGACUUGGGCCCUCCGUGGGCCUUGACCUCCCAUUUCUGCUCUCCCCCAGCCAGGCUGGUGCUCCAGCUGGGAGCCAUGUGCCUGUGGACAGCCUCACCUCACAGCCAGGCUUUACUUUUCAGAUUCGAACUAAGUGGAUCCCACUGGUGAAUGGGGGGACCACGCGGGGGCCCAGGUAAUGAGGGGGAUGUGGAAGGGGCUGGGACCCCCGGCUCCCCUGCCCCUGGUGACCAUGGGCCUUCAACCCAGGGUGCCCAUCAUCCUAGUGGGCAACAAGUCAGACCUGCGGUCGGGGAGCUCCAUGGAGGCCGUGCUCCCCAUCAUGAGCCAGUUUCCGGAGAUCGAGACCUGCGUGGAGUGUUCGGCCAAGAACCUGAGAAACAUCUCAGAGCUGUUCUACUACGCCCAGAAGGCUGUCCUGCACCCCACAGCCCCUCUCUAUGACCCUGAGGCCAAGCAGUUGAGGCCCGCGUGCGCCCAGGCACUGACGCGCAUCUUCAGGCUCUCAGAUCAGGACCUGGACCAGGCGCUCAGUGACGAAGAGCUCAACGCUUUCCAGAAAUCCUGCUUUGGGCACCCCCUGGCCCCACAGGCCCUGGAGGACGUGAAGACGGUGGUGUGCAGGAACGUGGCGGGCGGCGUGUGGGAGGACCGACUGACCCUGGAUGGUGAGGCUGGGUGCCCGCCUGUGCCUGGGGAGUGUGGGGAGGGGGCUGUGCCUGGUGCUCCCCCUGCUCUGUCUCGGUGCAGGUUUCCUCUUCCUGAACACGCUCUUCAUCCAGCGCGGGCGGCACGAGACCACGUGGACCAUCCUGCGGCGCUUCGGCUACAGCGAUGCACUGGAGCUGACAGCCGACUAUCUCUUCCCUCCGCUCCACGUGCCCCCCGGCUGCAGCACUGAGCUCAACCACCUUGGCUACCAGUUUGUGCAAAGAGUAUUUGAGAAGCACGACCAGGUGAGAGCAUGGCGACUCCCCUGCCCCUGCCCCCGCCCCCUCCCCGGCACACACAUCACCGCAUCCCUCCUUCUGCAGGACCGAGACGGCGCCCUCUCGCCUGUGGAGCUGCAAAGCCUCUUCAGUGUGUUCCCAGCAGCCCCCUGGGGCCCCGAGCUCCCACGCACAGUCCGCACAGAGGCCGGCCGGUUGCCCCUGCACGGAUACCUCUGCCAGUGGACGUAAGUGCGGCCCACACCAUGCCCGCCCGCCGCACCACCCUUGCCACCGUAACACUGUGCCUCCCGCCCACCCCCAGCCUGGUGACCUACCUGGACGUCCGGAGCUGCCUUGGGCACCUAGGCUACCUGGGCUACCCCACCCUUUGUGAGCAGGACUCCCAGGCCCAUGCCAUCACAGGUAGGUACCCACCCUCUCUGGGCCUGGGCCCAGCAUCCUGGCAGCCGCCCUAACCCGUGUCUAUCCUCACAGUCACCCGUGAGAAGAGGCUGGACCAGGAGAAGGGACAGACGCAGCGGAGCGUCCUCCUGUGCAAGGUGGUGGGGGCCCGUGGAGUGGGCAAGUCUGCCUUCCUGCAGGCCUUCCUCGGCCGCGGCCUGGAGGUAAGCACCCUAGACUCCCCCACCACCCCAGGGGCUCCAGGAGCAGGGCAGGGCAAUCUGGGGGGCACUGGAGCCAGCGAGUGUCAGGACUUCACCUCCCUUAGCACCAGGACACGAGGGAGCAGCCUCCCGGCUAUGCCAUCGACACAGUGCAGGUCAACGGGCAGGAGAAGUACUUGAUCGUGAGUGCUGGGGCGGCGCGGCCUGUGCCGGAGGGUGGACCCGGGGACACCCAGGCCUGCCUAGCAGAUCUGGCCCAGCAUGGCCCUAGGGGGACUGAGCCCCAGGGACUCUUCCUAAGGCCACUGUCUGUCCCAGCUCUGUGAGGUGGGCACAGAUGGUCUGCUGGCCACAUCGCUGGACGCCGCCUGUGACGUUGCCUGCUUGAUGUUUGAUGGCAGUGACCCAAAGUCCUUUGCACAUUGUGCCAGCGUCUACAAGCACCAUUACAUGGACGGGCAGACCCCCUGCCUCUUCGUCUCCUCCAAGGCCGACCUGCCCGAAGGUGUCGCGGUGUCUGGCCCAUCGCCAGCCGAGUUUUGCCGCAAGCACCGGCUACCCGCUCCCAUGCCGUUCUCCUGUGCUGGCCCAGCCGAGCCCAGCACCACCGUCUUCACCCAGCUCGCCACCAUGGCCGCCUUCCCGUGGGUACCUGGCAGCACAACCCUGGGGACUAGCAGUGUCUGUCAUCCGAGCAGUGGGCAGCUGUGGCGUCAGGCCUGGAACUGGGACCAGAGUGGCGGGGUGGAGCUUUGUGUGGCAG
rnacentral:sRNA from 1 species